rnacentral:rRNA from 1 species
UUUAUCGGAGAGUUUGAUC